rfam:Triticum aestivum genome assembly, contig: Triticum_aestivum_CS42_TGACv1_scaffold_198234_3AL
ACAGCACUCCCUCUGUUUGGAAUUACUUGUCGUGGAAGUGGAUGUAUCUAGAUGUAUUUUAGUUCUAGAUACAUCCAUUUUUCAAACAAGUAAUUCCGAACGGAGGGAGUAGAUA